rnacentral:rRNA from 1 species
UUCGAUGGAUAACAGGUUGAAAUUCCUGUACUAUCCUGUAACAGAACUGUGGGGACACAGGCAGAGAGCGUGAGCCGGAAAUGGAAAGACCGGUACAAGCGAGGUAGGAGAAGAGUUGGCAAAUCCGCUCUUUAAUCUGAAGACGUGAUGUGGACUGAAAAUAAGUAGGGAAGCACGUGAGCUGACUGUCAAGAAAAGCCGCUAUUGUUUGCAGGAUACCCGUACCGUAAACCGACACAGGUGGAUGAGGAGAGAAUCCUAAGGCCGACGGGAGAAGCAUUGUUAAGGAACUCGGCAAAAUGACUCCGUAACUUCGGGAGAAGGAGUGCCAGUAAGAUGGCCGCAGAGAAUUGGCCCAAGCAACUGUUUAGCAAAAACACAGGUCUAUGCAAAACCGAAAGGUGAGGUAUAUGGGCUGACGCCUGCCCGGUGCUGGAAGGUUAAGGGGAGAGGUUAGCGCAAGCGAAGCUUUGAACUUAAGCCCCAGUAAACGGCGGCCGUAACGAUAACGGUCCUAAGGUAGCGAAAUUCCUUGUCGGGUAAGUUCCGACCCGCACGAAAGGCGUAAUGAUUUGGGCACUGUCUCAACAAUGCACCCGGUGAAAUUGAAAUACCAGUGAAGAUGCUGGUUACCUGCGCCAGGACGGAAAGACCCCAUGGAGCUUUACUCCAGCUUGAUACUGGGAUUCGGUAUUGCAUGUACAGGAUAGGUGGGAGGCUAGGAAAUGGUAACGCCAGUUGCCAUGGAGCCAAUGUUGGGAUACCACCCUUGCAGUACUGGGUUUCUAACCAGCAGCCGUGAUCCGGCUGGGGGACAAUGUCAGGUGGGGAGUUUGACUGGGGCGGUCGCCUCCGAAAGGGUAUCGGAGGCGCUCAAAGGUUCCCUCAGAAUGGUUGGAAACCAUUCGAAGAGUGCAAAGGCAGAAGGGAGCUUGACUGCGACACCGACGGGUGGAGCAGGUACGAAAGUAGGACUUAGUGAUCCGGUGGUAUAAAGUGGGAUUGCCAUCGCUCAACGGAUAAAAGCUACCCUGGGAUAACAGGCUUAUCACUCCCAAGAGUUCACAUCGACGGAGUGGUUUGGCACCUCGAUGUCGGCUCAUCGCAUCCUGGGGCUGAAGUAGGUCCCAAGGGUUGGGCUGUUCGCCCAUUAAAGCGGUACGCGAGCUGGGUUCAGAACGUCGUGAGACAGUUCGGUCCCUAUCCGGCGUGGGCGUAAGAUAUUUGAGAGGAGCUGUCCUUAGUACGAGAGGACCGGGAUGGACUGGCCGCUGGUGUAUCUGUUGUCUUACCAAAGGCAUAGCAGAGUAGCCAAGCCGGGAAGGGAUAAACGCUGAAGGCAUCUAAGCGUGAAGCCCCCCUCAAGAUGAGAUAUCUCAUAACGUCAAGUUAGUAAGACCCCUUGAAGACGACGAGGUAGAUAGGGCAGAGGUGGAAGUGUGGUAACGCAUGGAGCUGACUGUUACUAAUAGGUCGAGGGCAUAACC